AAAACAACUCUCAGCAACGGAUAUCUUGGCUCUUGCAACGAUGAAGAA
rnacentral:rRNA from 4 species